rnacentral:rRNA from 1 species
GACGAACGCUGGCGGCGUGCUUAACACAUGCAAGUCGAACGAAAAUACCAAGCUUGCUUGGUUGAUUAGUGGCGAACGGGUGAGUAACACGUGGGUAACCUGCCCCUUACUUUCCUGGAUAACUGCUCGAAAGGGUAGCUAAUACGGGAUAUUCUGACCAGCCUGCAUGGGUUGGUUUGGAAAGGUUGUUUUUCUGGUAAGGGAUGGGCUCGCGGCCUAUCAGCUUGUUGGUGGGGUGAUGGCCUACCAAGGCUUUGACGGGUAGCCGGCCUGAGAGGGUGGACGGUCACACUGGGACUGAGAUACGGCCCAGACUCCUACGGGAGGCAGCAGUGGGGAAUAUUGCACAAUGGGCGCAAGCCUGAUGCAGCGACGCCGCGUGAGGGAUGAAGGCCUUCGGGUUGUAAACCUCUUUCGUCAGGGAACAAGGCACUGCUUUUGUGGUGGUGUUGAGGGUACCUGGAUAAGAAGCGCCGGCUAACUACGUG